rnacentral:rRNA from 1 species
CCUACGGGUGGCUGCAGUCGAGGAUCUUCCACAAUGGACGAAAGUCUGAUGGAGCGACACCGCGUGAAGGAUGAAGGCCUAACGGUUGUAAACUUCUUUUCUGAAGGAGCAUAAUGAGAGUACUUCAGGAAUAAGGGACGGCUAAAUACGUGCCAGCAGCCGCGGUAAUACGUAUGUCUCGAGCGUUACCCGGAAUCACUGGGUGUAAAGGGUUCGUAGGCGGUUAGAUAAGUUGAAUAUAAAAGACCGAGGCUCAACCUCGUGUUUGUGUUCAAAACUGUCCAACUAGAAUCAGGGAGAGGUAAGCGGAAUUCUGUGUGUAGGGGUGCAAUCCCGUAGAUACACAGAGGAACACCAAAAGCGAAGGCAGCUUACUGGAACUGUAUUGACGCUCAUGAACGAAAGCGUGGGGAGCGAAAAGGAUUAGAUACCCUUGUAGUCCACGCCCUAAACGAUGAUAACUAAGUGUUGUGACUUGCUCGCAGUGCUGUAGCUAACGCGUUAAGUUAUCCACCUGAGGAGUACGGUCGCAAGAUUAAAACUCAAAGGAAUAGACGGGGACCCACACAAGCAGUGGAUCACGUGGUUUAAUUCGAUAAUAAACGGGGAACCUUACCCAGACUUGACAUCUACCGAAUCUUUUAGAGAUAGAAGAGUGCCUUUAUUGGAGCGGUAAGACAGGUGCUGCAUGGUUGUCGUCAGUUCGUGCCUUGAGGUGUUCGGUUAAGUCCGUUAACGAGCGCAACCCAUGUCGUUAGUUAUUAUGUCUAACGAGACUGCCUUGGUUAACAAGGAGGAAGGUGUGGAUGACGUCAAAUCAGCAUGGCUUUUACGUCUGGGGCCACACACAUGAUACAAUGGUACGUACAAAGAGCAGCGAUAUGGUGACAUUGAGCUAAUCUUAAAAGCGUAUCUCAGUCCGGAUUGAAGUCUGAAACUCGACUUCAUGAAGUUGGAAUUGCUAGUAAUCGUGAAUCAGAUAUGUCACGGUGAAUAUGUUCCUGGGUCUUGUACUCACCGCCCGU